CUAUGAUUCAGAAUAUCACACCGACCGACCUCUCUCUUAUUUCCCCCAAACUUAAAACCCUAAAACUACCUGGAUCAGUCCAGUAAUGUUGAAUGGUGAUAAUGAGAGGUUUGGCCAUAAAAAUGUCAAACUCUAGUUGCUGAAGUUAAAUAGGUCCAUUUUUUGGGUGGGAAUCUGGUAAUGGAGGAAGGAACCCUCACAUGCAGUGGAGCCACAAUCACAUUACGAUUUCUUCUUGUAAUACAAAAUUAAAAUUGUUCUUGAUUUCUUUCUUUGGCUGGCUCUUUUUUUGCCUUAAAUUUAGGGUUUAUUCGGUAAGAUUUAGGGCUUGCUUGUCUCUGGCUGCUUUGAUUAUUUUGUUGUUUACCACUGCUGUUGCGAGAGGAAGAGGUUCAAGGGGUCGUGGUGAUGCAGCGACACCAACUGGUGUUAGAGGAAGGGGUUCAACAGAUGGUGGUGCUACAGGAAGAGGUUCAACGGGUGGUGGACCUGGUGGUGCUGCUAGAACUAUAUUCCAUAUAUGUAGCUUUAACAGCUAUGGGCACUAAUUGGGUGCAUAAACAUUCCCAGCCGGAAGUCUCGUCUCAAACUAUGCAGAGCAUUAGGGUCACAUAAGGCUCUAGAGUGGGAUUCCCAAUUAGGAUGCCUAGCAGUUUUCCUGGAAGGCAGCCCAAGGCUUCGAUGUACAAUGAUACCGAGACAAAAGGAAUUUUUUUGCGAGAGUAAGGCAGAACCUUAUCCAUUUCGUUUCUUAAUCAGAUAGAAAUCAGUGUUUACGAUGCUAGUUGAGUUCACCAAUGAUCAAACUCCGAGCUAAGUAUCUUAGGCUGUUCUCGCUCCUAAAAUCAUGUACGUUAGCCGGUUCACAGGCUCAAACUGGAUGUAUUGCUUAUUUAGUGUAGAAGUUCCUUUCUAAUUUCGAGUCUGGCUUUUGUGUUGAUUAGAGUCUUGUCUUUUCGCUAAUAUGCUGAAUUUUCUUCAGUGUCUAACAGGCUGUUUUCUGAACAGUUGGUUCCUCUUCUUCUUUUUUGAGUUUUGAGGGAUUCCCAAUUUAUACAUAUGGUUUCCAUCCUUUGUUCCAGUUGAAAUUAUCGUAAAGAAUCACUUUUGGUAUUUUCAGUGGAUGUGCUUUGAUGAGAAUUACCGGUUAGGUAGGUGACUAAUGACAAUGAGCGAGGCGGAUUCCAACAUAAAAAGAAAAGAUUAGCAUAUAUAGUUUAUGUCUAUUUGAUCAGAGAAACACAACCCAGGUUUAACUUUCUAUAACUGUUUGCAGGUACAAAUUUGGGGAGGAAAGCAGUUAUGUCAGAUAGAUUUCGAAGGAAGCUCAAGAAUUGUGAUAGCAGCAUUAAUCACUGGAUAAAAGCUAAGCAUUACAAGAGAACUCACUACACGUACCGAAAUUAGUGACUCCACUUCUAAAUAUGCUGUAGUUAAUUCAUUACAAGAGAAUUCAAUUCUGGGCUACAGUUAUCCAUCUUGGGCGUCUACAGUUUGCUUGUGAACAUUUCUUGGACAUUUAGAAGCAAAAACACAGGUCGGUUUCAUAGUUAUACAUUACGUUUCUGUGUUUCUUUGGUAUCUUUCCGAAAGAACGUUUUGUAAAUGAAUACUAGUACUUAGUUGUGAACCGACUGUUGUAGUAUCCAUGUUAUAAAAUGUCAAUAAUAGGGAUCUCAUGGGCUAUAAAACCAUUCAGUUAGUUAA